rnacentral:snoRNA from 1 species
AGACCAUGGUGUGGGCACUCUCUAUGAAAAUCUUUAAACCUUUCCCAAACUUCGAACAAACUCUCAUCUGUCUCUUGAGUAAUAGAAAUAAUCUGGCUCU